AUUGAACGCUGGCGGCAUGCCUUACACAUGCAAGUCGAACGGCAGCGCGGACUUCGGUCUGGCGGCGAGUGGCGAACGGGUGAGUAAUACAUCGGAACGUACCCUGUUGUGGGGGAUAACUAGUCGAAAGAUUAGCUAAUACCGCAUACGACCUGAUGGUGAAAGUGGGGGACCGCAAGGCCUCACGCAGCAGGAGCGGCCGAUGUCUGAUUAGCUAGUUGGUGGGGUAAAGGCCCACCAAGGCGACGAUCAGUAGCUGGUCUGAGAGGACGAUCAGCCACACUGGGACUGAGACACGGCCCAGACUCCUACGGGAGGCAGCAGUGGGGAAUUUUGGACAAUGGGGGCAACCCUGAUCCAGCAAUGCCGCGUGUGUGAAGAAGGCCUUCGGGUUGUAAAGCACUUUUGUCCGGAAAGAAAUCGCGCUGGUUAAUACCUGGCGUGGAUGACGGUACCGGAAGAAUAAGCACCGGCUAACUACGUG
rnacentral:rRNA from 1 species